rnacentral:rRNA from 1 species
GACGAACGCUGGCGGCGUGCCUAAUACAUGCAAGUUGAGCGCUGAAGGUUGGUGCUUGUACCAAUUUGAUGAGCAGCGAACGGGUGAGUAACGCGUGGGGAAUCUGCCUUUGAGCGGGGGACAACAUUUGGAAACGAAUGCUAAUACCGCAUAAAAACUUUAAACAUAAGUUUUAAGUUUGAAAGAUGCAAUUGCAUCACUCAAAGAUGAUCCCGCGUUGUAUUAGCUAGUUGGUGAGGUAAAGGCUCACCAAGGCGAUGAUACAUAGCCGACCUGAGAGGGUGAUCGGCCACAUUGGGACUGAGACACGGCCCAAACUCCUACGGGAGGCAGCAGUAGGGAAUCUUCGGCAAUGGACGAAAGUCUGACCGAGCAACGCCGCGUGAGUGAAGAAGGGUGUCGGAUCGUAAAACUCUGUUGGUAGAGAAGAACGUUGGUGAGAGUGGAAAGCUCAUCAAGUGACGGUAACUACCCAGAAAGGGACGGCUAACUACGUG